UAGAGCUCUAUCUAAACAGAAUUUGAUUACUUCAACGUGUCUUAAAUAUAUUUCGGACAUGUACUUACAACUGCUCAUUUGACGUGUAAUAACUAUCAAGAUCAGACCGAGAUAUAGCCAUUUUAAUAGCAUUUUUGAUGUGUGACUGAGUUGUAAGUUGAUAAAUGCACAAGGUACGAAUAUUAAACAGCUUUUAUAGACGAAUUAAUGAGCCAAACGACAGCCGCAAUCUAAAUACCCUAUUAAAUGCUUACCGUUCGUUUUGUAUUAAACAUUAUUUGUAUUCAUAAGGUAAUUAAAUAUCCCAUUAUGCGGACUUAACAUCAUUCUGAAACUGGCUUACCCACUUACUACCUUUAAGAACUCCGAAAUUUAUUUAUUUACUGCCAUUUUGUGGCAAUUAGGCGUUGCUUAAAUAUUUAUUUCAACACAUUUAAUUUGCCGCAACAAUAGCUGAACUCGGUUAACCGUUCAGUUAAGUUAAAUGAACCCGAAUUCCGUGGCUUCUCGUGUUGCUGUUGUCUCUAUGCAAAUAUGCGAUGAAAAGAAUUGAAAGUUGACACAGUUCACAAAGAAUUUGAAAUGUUUCGCCACGAGAAAGAGGGGAGAAUGUGCUCGUAUUAUUAAAUAUGUAUGGGCGGCAUUUUGGAAUGGGCCAUAUUUUUGCCUAUGCAUGUAUAAAUAGGCACUCAUUAUCAAGGUUCCAGCUCAAUAGGCUGUAGAUGGGAAUCUGGAGAAAGAGAUUGAUCUGGUAGAAAGUAUUGAAUGGAACGAAUGAAGAUUCAAUGUGGUCGUAGCGAAAAUAAUUAGAGCAUUCGACUUGCUUUCGAGCUAUGCGAUAUCGGCGGAUAUAGUGCUUCUUCCCCGCUAACUGCAAAAAACUUUCUCAGGAAGCUGCUCAGUGACUGUGGAAAAACUCGUUUGAAUUUCCACUUGGCCAUCGCUCAUUUUUUGUUCAGCGCUGAUUGAUCUGAUAGUGUAAAAAAUGUUUAAUAUAUAAAU